GACGUAGGGCGCGAGCGUUGUCCGGAUUUAUUGGGCGUAAAGAGCUCGUAGGCGGCUCGUUGCGUCGGCUGUGAAAACCCGCAGCUCAACUGUGGGCUUGCAGCUGAUACGGGCGGGCUAGGAUUCGGUAGGGGAGACUGGAAUUCCUGGUGUAGCGGUGAAAUGCGCAGAUAUCAGGAAGAACACCUAUGGCGAAGGCAGCUCUCUGGGACGGUACUGACGCUGAGACGCGAAAGCGUGGGGAGCGAACAGG
rnacentral:rRNA from 1 species